CAAUGGUUAUCUGGCUGGGACCUCUGUCAUGCCAUUACACACACCAGGGUGGAUUUGGCUUAUCUGGCUGGUUAGGUGGGUGUCCCCUUCCUCCUCCAUUGCUUNANNUGUGUCCUCUCAGUCAGAGAGGACAACCUUCCUGGAUAGAAGAGGACCAUUCUUGGGCCCAGGGUAUAUGCUG
rnacentral:snRNA from 1 species